rnacentral:lncRNA from 1 species
UAUGAUACUGGGAUUAAGGAUGAGUGAUUACUAAAUUACUCCACUGAUUGGUUUGGUGUAGUUCUGGAAGGACCCACCCUGGGUGUGAAUGCCAUCACUCUGCCUUGGAGCCAGCCAAUUAUGGACUGAAACUUCUACAAACUGAGCUAAGUAAACCUUUCCUUCUCUAACUUUGGGUGUCAGGUAUUUUGUCUCAACAAUGAGAGAAAAGUUAACUAAGACAUAGUUAACGAUGUUAAAAUAACUAUGUUAAAAAUAACUAUGUUAAAAAAAAACUAUGUUAAAAAUAACUAAGACAGUUAUUUCACUCUCUCCUCUGCUGGACUUUCUCUGACUUUGUCAGACAGACUUAUUAGGAAGGAGAGUUUAUGGCAUUGAGCAUUUUCUUUGAGCUGUUUGCUAAGCUGAUCACUUUGCUGUAUGAUUUAACUUUUAGGUCCAUUUAACUUUUCUGCAUCAAUCCUAGGAGUAAAGCAUGAAUAGCAUCAUUUUCUUGGGGACAUAAACAGGUCCUUGAUAUAUUCAUUUUCAUCACACUCACACCAGGAGGACCCCAAAAUAAUUAGAUGUCUCAUGCAGAUAAAGGAAAUGCAAAACAGCUAAUCUGAAAACCAAAGCCAAUUCCAGAUUUCUAGAAGCCUGAGUGGAAGCCACAGUGGACCUCAGCAAUACCUUCCAUGCCUCCGCCCCAAGAGAGGGGAAGGCACAGUCCUGUCCUCACUCAGCGGUUCCUGAGUUUUGAGCACCUACCUGGUACGGAUGUUGAAAUGCAAAUGGAGUUCACACUCCUGCACUACUGGAAGCUGGAGCUGUGGAAGUGGUGCCUGUGGGUGAAAGCACAGAGGAGUCUAGUCCUCUAGCAUCUGAAGUGAGGACCACACGUGUUCCAAAGACUGUGGCUCAGGCAGGGUUACACAGAGGAAACAAGUCCUUGAACAGAAGGUCCUCUGGGGUCCCGAGACACAGGCCAUCUGUAAUAACAAUGUGCAGCACACAGCGGAAAAUGCAUGGAGACAUGGAGCCCCAGUUCUCAGCUCACAGAGCACCUGGAGGAAAAAAAAAAGCUUCAAGAUACUACAUAAGAUCAAGAUCAUUUAAAAGAUCUUCCCAGCUCUACAAGAUCAGCCUGGCCCAGAGUAACACAUGUCAUCUCCCCAGGUUUACAUUGUUUCUGAAAAUAAAG